AUUGAACGCUGGCGGCAUGCCUUACACAUGCAAGUCGAACGGCAGCACGGGAGCAAUCCUGGUGGCGAGUGGCGAACGGGUGAGUAAAGUAUCGGAACGUACCUUUCAGUGGGGGAUAACGUAGCGAAAGUUACGCUAAUACCGCAUAUUCUGUGAGCAGGAAAGCAGGGGAUCGCAAGACCUUGCGCUGAUGGAGCGGCCGAUAUCAGAUUAGCUAGUUGGUGAGGUAAAGGCUCACCAAGGCGACGAUCUGUAGCGGGUCUGAGAGGAUGAUCCGCCACACUGGGACUGAGACACGGCCCAGACUCCUACGGGAGGCAGCAGUGGGGAAUUUUGGACAAUGGGGGCAACCCUGAUCCAGCCAUGCCGCGUGAGUGAAGAAGGCCUUCGGGUUGUAAAGCUCUUUCGGCCGGGAAAAAAUCGCCUCUCCUAAUACGGGGGGU
rnacentral:rRNA from 1 species